rnacentral:lncRNA from 1 species
CUUGCUUUGCUUGUUUGUUAUUAUUAAUUGCUAUUCCAAAGGACACACUUGAAUCAUCUGCUAUAUGAUUUCAAGAAGUGAACCUUCUAAGAAGUUUUACUUUCCAUCUUCAUCCAUUCAUCAUCCAUUAUGUCUUAGAACCUUUUUCACACUUCAUCUUUUAAACUUGACAUAAGUGUUGUGCAAACAUUUUCAUGUUUUCCUAACUAAAAACCUGGACUCAAGUCCUUGACCUUUUUUCAAACUCAUUUCUAUAAUACUUAUUUGAAUUGAUCUUAAUCAUACUUUGACUCCA